rnacentral:ncRNA from 1 species
UUGAAGAGGUGCACUCAUCAGUAAGUAAGUGGAGAUUGCCAAAAUCGAUGAAACUUAUCCAGGGAUGCAGUGCCGAAACUAAGUCUUGGCAACACUUGGUUGGUAAACGUGGUUGAAUCCACCUUACUGUCAUCAAUAACGACUAUACGAUAUUGAUGGAGUGCUUUA